rnacentral:rRNA from 1 species
AGUAGGGCGGGACACGUGUUAUCCUGUCUGAAUAUGGGGGGACCAUCCUCCAAGGCUAAAUACUCCUGACUGACCGAUAGUGAACCAGUACCGUGAGGGAAAGGCGAAAAGAACCCCUGUGAGGGGAGUGAAAUAGAACCUGAAACCGUGUACGUACAAGCAGUAGGAGCACCUUCGUGGUGUGACUGCGUACCUUUUGUAUAAUGGGUCAGCGACUUAUAUUCAGUGGCAAGGUUAACCAUCUAGGGGAGCCGUAGGGAAACCGAGUCUUAACUGGGCGCCAUAGUCUCUGGAUAUAGACCCGAAACCGAGUGAUCUAGCCAUGGGCAGGUUGAAGGUUGAGUAACAUCAACUGGAGGACCGAACCGACUAAUGUUGAAAAAUUAGCGGAUGACUUGUGGCUAGGGGUGAAAGGCCAAUCAAACUCGGAGAUAGCUGGUUCUCCCCGAAAGCUAUUUAGGUAGCGCCUCGGACGAAUACUACUGGGGGUAGAGCACUGUUAAGGCUAGGGGGUCAUCCCGACUUACCAACCCUUUGCAAACUCCGAAUACCAGUAAGUACUAUCCGGGAGACACACGGCGGGUGCUAACGUCCGUCGUGGAGAGGGAAACAACCCAGACCGCCAGCUAAGGUCCCAAAUUACAGCUAAGUGGGAAACGAUGUGGGAAGGCUUAGACAGCUAGGAUGUUGGCUUAGAAGCAGCCAUCAUUUAAAGAAAGCGUAAUAGCUCACUAGUCGAGUCGGCCUGCGCGGAAGAUGUAACGGGGCUAAGUUGUAAACCGAAGCUGCGGCAAUGUUCUUUGAACAUUGGGUAGGGGAGCGUUCUGUAAGCCGUUGAAGGUGUGUUGUAAAGCAUGCUGGAGGUAUCAGAAGUGCGAAUGCUGACAUGAGUAACGACAAGGGGGGUGAAAAACCUCCCCGCCGGAAGACCAAGGGUUCCUGUCCAACGUUAAUCGGGGCAGGGUAAGUCGACCCCUAAGGCGAGGCCGAAAGGCGUAGUCGAUGGGAAACGGGUUAAUAUUCCCGUACUUCUUACAAUUGCGAUGGGGGGACGGAGAAGGCUAGGUGGGCCUGGCGACGGUUGUCCAGGUUCAAGUGCGUAGGCUGAGUGUUUAGGUAAAUCCGGAUACUCUUAAGGCUGAGACACGACGUCGAGCUACUACGGUAGUGAAGUCAUUGAUGCCAUGCUUCCAGGAAAAGCCUCUAAGCUUCAGAUUGUAAGGAAUCGUACCCCAAACCGACACAGGUGGUCGGGUAGAGAAUACCAAGGCGCUUGAGAGAACUCGGGUGAAGGAACUAGGCAAAAUGGUACCGUAACUUCGGGAGAAGGUACGCUCUUGAUGGUGAAGUCCCUUGCGGAUGGAGCUGACGAGAGUCGCAGAUACCAGGUGGCUGCAACUGUUUAUUAAAAACACAGCACUGUGCAAAAUCGUAAGAUGACGUAUACGGUGUGACGCCUGCCCGGUGCCGGAAGGUUAAUUGAUGGGGUUAGCGUAAGCGAAGCUCUUGAUCGAAGCCCCGGUAAACGGCGGCCGUAACUAUAACGGUCCUAAGGUAGCGAAAUUCCUUGUCGGGUAAGUUCCGACCUGCACGAAUGGCGUAAUGAUGGCCACGCUGUCUCCACCCGAGACUCAGUGAAAUUGAAAUCGCUGUGAAGAUGCAGUGUACCCGCGGCUAGACGGAAAGACCCCGUGAACCUUUACUACAGCUUGGCACUGAACAUUGAACCUACAUGUGUAGGAUAGGUGG